rnacentral:rRNA from 1 species
GCCUUUAGCCAAACAAGUAUUAAAGGUCCCGCCUGCCCAGUGAUUUUUUCAACGGCCGCGGUAUUCUAACCGUGCAAAGGUAGCGUAAUCACUUGUCUUUUAAAUAAAGACCUGUAUGAACGGCUAAAUGAGGAUAAACCUGUCUCAUAUAACUAAUCAGUGAAACUGAUCUUCCAGUACAAAAGCUGGGAUAACCACAUAAGACGAGAAGACCCUGUGGAGCUUAAAACAACCACUAAACAAUUACCCAAUUGACUUUAGUGUUCGUUUUCAGUUGGGGCGACUUCGGAAUAAAAAAUAACUUCCGAGCACAGAGCCACAACCUCUAACCGAGGCCAACAAGCCAAAGCAUUAAAAUCGACCCGGCCCAAGCCGAUCAACGAACCAAGUUACCCCAGGGAUAACAGCGCAAUCUUCUUCGAGAGCCCCUAUCAACAAGAAGGUUUACGACCUCGAUGUUGGAUCAGGACACCCAAAUGGUGCAGCCGCUAUUAAAGGUUCGUUUGUUCAACGAUUAACAGUCC